AGAGGGGAGUAACCCGGCGAAAGUCGGACUAAUACCGCAUGAAGCAGGGGCCCCGCAUGGGGAUAUUUGCUAAAGAUUCAUCGCUGAUAGAUAGGCAUGCGUUCCAUUAGGCAGUUGGCGGGGUAACGGCCCACCAAACCGACGAUGGAUAGGGGUUCUGAGAGGAAGGUCCUCCACAUUGGUACUGAGACACGGACCAA
rnacentral:rRNA from 1 species